CCGUGGAUGACAGAAUGACAUAAAUCGAGAUUGUAGCGGCUAUAAACUCGGCGGUCACGUGGUAAGCACACCACGUGUAGAGAUUAGUGUGCUGCCGAGCUACGCUCGGCAGCAAAAACAUUAGCACCAUUAGUCAUGGGUACUGAAUUCUGCACUUGGUAUACAAUUUUAUACACAAAUAAUAUUUAUAUGUGGUACUGAAUGAAUUUUAGGGUGUUGUGAAUAGUCACUAUAAUAUUGGUAAUAUUGUAAGAGAAUAUUUGUAUUUAAUAGGAAGUUGUAUGUAUUUUGGCUGUAAUUUUGUACCAGAGAAGAAAAUAUCAAAC
rnacentral:lncRNA from 1 species